CGGAUGUUAACCUAUGCAGCGAACACACUAAUGUCUCCUAAUCUGUAGCACUAAGGUGCUAACGGCACUGAAGUUACAGGAGUUUCUUCCACGAGCGGACGCACCAGAGAAGCGGACGAGUGUUUUGGCGCGGAUGGUACUGAGACCCAGUGGCUUCAGUAAACGGGACACAGGCCUCCAGUCGCUCGCGCGGGUCACUUCUGCGCUCGGGUAACGCUGGAAAAACUCCCACAGCAUCGGGAUCGCCAUCUUACCUGGAAGAGGAACACAGAACAUCACAUGCGCAUCCAUCAUGUAUUACAACUGAUCUCAACACAGAUCUCCACAUUAGAAUGAGUCGACGUGACGUCAGGUCAGGUGAUACACACAGGUGUCAUGAGUGUGUUGCUGUACCGCUGGUCUUGUUGAGGAAGAUGGAGGCCACCAGGAGCUUCCAGGGGUCGUGGAAGAGCGUCUCCUGCACCAAAUUGAAGGGUGAGCGAGGCGGAGUCCACUUCCUCAAGGCCUUGCGUUUCGGCCGGCUCAGAGCUGACAGAGAAAUAUUUAUAGAAAUAUUUAUUACUCAUCAGGA